GGGCAGGUGAGGUUCGUUAGCCGUGGUAGGCAAUUCACCUAGGAGAGCAAACUCCGAACAAUAAACCCGGGCAGGUUGGGCUCGUGAGCCGUCAUAGGUAAUACACCUAGGAGAGCAAACUCCGAUUACAAACCCGGGCAGGUGGAGCUCGUCAGCCGUGGUAGGCAGUCUGCCUAGGAGAGCAAACUCCGAACAAUAAACCCGGGCAGGUGGAGCUCGUCAGCCGUGGUAGGCAGUCUGCCUAGGAGAGCAAACUCCGAACAAUAAACCCGGGCAGGUGGAGCUCGUCAGCCGUGGUAGGCAGUCUGCCUAGGAGAGCAAACUCCGAACAAUAAACCCGGGCAGGUGGAGCUCGUCAGCCGUGGUAGGCAGUCUGCCUAGGAGAGCAAACUCCGAACAAUAAACCGGGGCUUGUGGUGCUCGUUAGAUGUCGUAGACAAUCCACGUGAUGGGAACACCAAAGAAAAGGAAAAUAAAAAGGAACACCAGAAAAAGGAAAAUAUAGUAACAAAACAUCAAUAAAAUAAAAUAAAAAACACAGAUCAUCCACCUUCAGGCCCUAACAUCUCCAAAAUUAUGGAUGAGUCUUUUUUGGGGAGAAAGAGGCUCAUCCAGACCAAAGAACAUCAAAAAGGGAUGAUAUAGAAAGGAACACCAAAAAAAUGGGAAAAAGAGAAAAAAACAUCGCAAAAGAAAAGUAACAACAAUAACAGAACAACGUCAAGAAAAGUAACAUACAAAGAAACAUCAUCCACCAUUCGGCCCCAAACAAACAUCACCAAAAUUAUGGGUGGGUCUUUUCUGGGGAGAAAGAGGCUCACCCAGACCAAAGAACAUCAAAGAGGGAUGAUAUUGAAAAGAACACCAAAAAAUAGGGGAAAAAAGAGCAAAAAAACAUCGCAAAAGAAAAGUAACAGCAAUAACAGAACAACAUCAAGAAAAGUAACAUACAAAGAAACAUCAUCCACCAUUCGGCCCCAAACUAACAUCACCAAAAUUAUGGGUGGGUCUCUUCUGGGAGGAAAGCGGCUCACCCAGACCAACGAAGAACAUCAACAAGAGGAUGAUAUGAAACAAAAGGACAUUAAAAAACACGAAGAAAAGAAAUAAGAAGAAAAAGAACAGAAAAAAAACAUCGGGAAAGAAAAACAAGAAGAAAAACACAUCAAGUGAAGAAAAAUAUAAGAAACAUCAUCCACCUUUCGGCCCCUAACUAACAUCACCAAAAUUAUGGGUGGGUCUCUUCUGGGAGGAAAGCGGCUCACCCAGACCAAUGAACAUCAACAAGAGGAUGAUAUGAAAUAAAAGAACAUCAAACAAGAAAAACAACAGCAAGAAAACAAAGAAAAAGAUAAAGAAAAGAA